rnacentral:rRNA from 1 species
AUUGAACGCUGGCGGCAUGCUUUACACAUGCAAGUCGAACGGUAACAGGGUGCUUGCACCGCUGACGAGAGGCGAACGGGUGAGUAAUGCGUCGGAACGUGCCGAGUAGUGGGGGAUAACGCAGCGAAAGUUGUGCUAAUACCGCAUACGUACUGAGGUAGAAAGUGGGGGACCUUCGGCCUCACGCUAUUCGAGCGGCCGACGUCUGAUUAGCUAGUAGGUGAGGUAAAGGCUCACCUAGGCGACGAUCAGUAGCGGGUCUGAGAGGAUGAUCCGCCACACUGGGACUGAGACACGGCCCAGACUCCUACGGGAGGCAGCAGUGGGGAAUUUUGGACAAUGGGCGAAAGCCUGAUCCAGCCAUGCCGCGUGUCUGAAGAAGGCCUUCGGGUUGUAAAGGACUUUUGUCAGGGAGGAAAUCCCUAGUGCUAAUAACACUGGGGGAUGACAGUACCUGAAGAAUAAGCACCGGCUAACUACGUGCCAGCAGCCGCGGUAA